GGGCGCCUGGCGCUGCGGUCCGGUGCGCCGGAGCCGCCCGCGCGGGCGCCGAGAGGAGAGGCGAGGCGGGGAGCGCGAGCGGCGGCCACUGCCACGUCUUCCCGGCAGUGGCGGCGGUGGCGGCGCGGGAGGAGGAAUAACCCAAGUCUCCUUUCCUGGAAAUCAAUUUGCUGAAACGAUUGAAACAGCAGUUCUUGAAGCUGAAGAAAAGGGGAAAUUUGGAUACUGGGACAGACAUGCAUAAAGGAAGAUGAUAUGAAGAAACAGAAAGAAGAUGGCCAUGUGAAGACAGAGCAUUGGAGUAAUGCAUCCACAAGCCAAGGGUUGCCAAAGAUUGUUGGCAAAUCUCUAGAGGCUAUAAAGAGGCAAGAACGAAUCCUCCCCCACAGGUUUCAGAGGUGAAAAAUCAACCCUCAACUGAUAUCCUGAAAUGAACACUUGAACAUGAAAUGUUCACAACAGAAAUGAAAGGCACAGAACAUGUUUAAGUUGCCUUAUGUAAACCUGUAAAGACACCACAUAAAACCAUAAGGUCCGUUCUCAAUCGUUCACUGAUCCAUCUUUCUAUUUAUGCAACUAACAUUCACUGAACACUGUCUAUACCCCGACGCUGGGAAGUACCGGUGAUACACACAUUAGUAAGGCACGAUCCUUGUUCACCAUCCAGAGGGGAAGUGAUAAGCUAUGGAACAAGUUGGACCAAAACACAAACCAGGUGUAGAUGGAACUAUUUAUUGACUGGAGUUUCAGGGGCAGCUUCAUCAAGGGGAAGGCUGACACAUAAGUCAGGCCAUGUAGGAUGUAGGAUUCCAGAGGCAACAGCAAGAGCAAAGGCAAGGAAGUAGUCUGUUUGAGGAAAUAAUCAGAAUUGAGCCCACGCCAAGAAAAGAACACGGGAGAAAACUACAAAUUCAGAUGUUCUAGCCUGAGGAUAAAAGUCAAUUCAAGCGCAAGAUAAUUUGCCACCCCGACUCCUGCAUGCCUGACAUGUGGGAAGUGUUCAGUAAAUAAUGUCUGGGUAAAUCCUGACCAACUAAGUAAUCUCUCCGUUCAAGUUACGGAAUGAUUUCAGCAUAUUACCAUGUACCGUCCAGGGUCUAAGUCUCCCAUCAUGCCCUUCAGGUGUGUGUUUUCAGUUCUGACAGCUUUAUAUUUCACAUCUGCGACCUGAAAGGAGAUUCGUAGUUAAAAGUGAAUGUAAAAUUCAUAAUAAAAGUUCACAAUUCUAUGAAAGUUACUUUUAUUUUGUUAAUAUAAAUAUUUUCUAAGUGU